rnacentral:rRNA from 1 species
AUUAACGCUGGCGGCGUGCCUAACACAUGCAAGUCGAGCGGCAGCGAGUUUUACACUGAAUUCUGGAAGCUUCUAGUUGACAGAGAAGAUUUAUUCAAGAAUUUUGUGUAAAAUGUCGGCGAGCGGCGGACGGCUGAGUAACGCGUGGGAACGUACCCCAAAGUGAGGGAUAACGCAUCGAAAGGUGUGCUAAUACCGCAUAUGGUCUUCGGAUUAAAGCCUUCGGGCGCUUUGGGAACGGCCUGCGUAAGAUUAGAUAGUUGGUGGGGUAAUGGCCUACCAAGUCGACGAUCUUUAACUGGUUUGAGAGGAUGAUCAGUCAGACUGGAACUGAGACACGGUCCAGACUCCUACGGGAGGCAGCAGUGAGGAAUCUUCCACAAUGGGCGAAAGCCUGAUGGAGCAACGCCGCGUGCAGGAUGAAGGCCUUCGGGUUGUAAACUGCUUUUAUAAGUGAGGAUUAUGACAGUAACUUAUGAAUAAGGAUCGGCUAACUACGUG